rnacentral:rRNA from 1 species
GACGAACGCUGGCGGCGUGCCUAAUACAUGCAAGUAGAACGCACAGUUUAUACCGUAGCUUGCUACACCAUAAACUGUGAGUUGCGAACGGGUGAGUAACGCGUAGGUAACCUGCCUGGGAGCGGGGUAUAACUAUUGGAAACGGUAGCUAAUACCUCAUAAUAUUGAUUAUUGCAUGAUAAUUGAUUGAAAGAUGCUAUUGCAUCACUACCAGAUGGACCUACGUUGUAUUAGCUAGUAGGUGAGGUAACGGCUCACCUCGGCGAGGAUACAUAGCCGACCUGCGAGGGUGAGAGGCAAAACUGGGAUUGGAACAUGGCCCAGCCCACUACGGGAGGGAGACGUCGGGAACUCCUGGGAAUGGAAGCAAGGCUGAACGAGCAACGACGGGCGAGUGAAGAAGGCUGUCGGAUCGUAAAGGUCAGUUGUACGAGAAGAAUGGGAGUGAGAGUGGAACGUUCACACUGUGACGGUACCUGAACAGAAAGCGACGGCUAACUCCGUG